rnacentral:rRNA from 1 species
GACGAACGCUGGCGGCGUGCUUAACACAUGCAAGUCGUACGGUAAGGCCCUUUCGGGGGUACACGAGUGGCGAACGGGUGAGUAACACGUGAGUAACCUGCCCACAACUUUGGGAUAACGCUAGGAAACUGGUGCUAAUACUGGAUAUGUGCUCCUGCUGCAUGGUGGGGGUUGGAAAGCUCCGGCGGUUGUGGAUGGACUCGCGGCCUAUCAGCUUGCUGGUGGGGUAGUGGCCUACCAAGGCGGCGACGGGUAGCCGGCCUGAGAGGGUGACCGGCCACAUUGGGACUGAGAUACGGCCCAGACUCCUACGGGAGGCAGCAGUGGGGAAUAUUGCACAAUGGGCGCAAGCCUGAUGCAGCAACGCCGCGUGCGGGAUGACGGCCUUCGGGUUGUAAACCGCUUUCAGCAGGGACGAAGCUUUUUGUGACGGUACCUGCAGAAGAAGCACCGGCUAACUACGUG